CAAGACAAAACAACAACAAUGAACAACAUCAUCAUCCUCAUCUGGACUGUGACUGUGAAUCAGACUCCCUCUGUUAAAACAGUUCAGAUUGGUGAAUCAGUCACUAUAAACUGCAAAACAAACUCAGCAGUGAGAGAUGUCUGUACAGGUUCAUAUACUUGUAUGGCCUGGUAUCAGCAGAAACCUGGAGAAGCUCCUAAACUCCUCAUAUAUGCUGCAACAAACCGCUACACUGGAACUCCAUCUAGAUUCAGUGGCAGUGGAUCCAGAACUGAUUUCACUCUGACCAUCAGUGGAGUCCAGACUGAAGAUACAGGAGAUUAUUACUGUCUGAGUUUACACUGGAUCAACAGUAAAAAUGUGUUCACACAGUGAUAAAGAGUCGUACAAAAACCUCCGUCAGUCAGAGUCACAGUGACUGCACUGAUACAGCUGAGAGAUACUGCA